CCUGCCCCUAGAGGCACUGAAGAUGUGGCUGCUGUGUCAAACAUGCACCAGUAGGUGGCAGAGAGGAGAGUGGCUACUUCCGAGCUCAGUGUUCUGACCAGUGAACACCUGAGUGAUUAGUAGCCUACCAUU